rnacentral:misc_RNA from 1 species
GGGGGUUUGACGAAAAUUGACCUCAUUGACCCCACUCGACUUCCAGGCCCGAGCCUUCUCGCUGAGGAAAGGGAUCAAAGGAGGAAGGAGCACUCCUCUUUUUCUCCUUAGGGUUUUUUAUUUGCUUUCUUUGCUUGCUACUGGACUGGUGUCUCUCAUCUUCUUCAACGACCUGUCGUAUCUGUUAUCACUCACCUUCCCACUAGAAUGAGUCGGCAUCCGGAGGUUCUCUGGGCUCAGCGAUCCGAUAAGGUAUACCUGACGAUUGCCUUACCAGACGCCAAGGAUAUUUCAGUGAAAUGCGAGACUGGAGGGGUAUUCAGUUUCUCUGCAGUUGGGGUUCAAGGCGAAUCCUUUGAUUUCACUUUGCAACUCUAUGGAGCCAUUAUUCCUGAGGGCUGUAAAACUAAUGUUGGGUUAAGGAACAUAAUAUGUUCAAUCCAGAAACAAGAGAAGGGUUGGUGGAAAAGACUACUCAAGUCGGAAGAAAAACCUGCACCUUACCUUAAGGUGGAUUGGAACAAAUGGUGUGAUGAGGAUGAUGAAGAGACUAAUUCUGAUUUGGCCUCUGAUGAUGAUAAUAUUGCGUAUGGUGAAGAUGAUGAAGGCAGUGACGAUGAAGGAAUGCUUUAUCUUCCUGAUUUGGAGAAAGCCAGGGGAAAUUAAUGAAGAUCAAGCACCUACAAGUAACAUGGAAGGGCAGUUCCAAUGAUUGAAGAAAUGUGUUGAUGAAAGGGGCAUGAGGGAAAUUUUAAUACAUGUUAUGCAAAACUACUGCUGUAAUAGAAGUUUGUAUAUAUUAAAUCUAACGUUGCUUUUAACAGGAUUGAUUCCUUGAGUCGGGUGAUUUUGUUGAACCANACUAAUUUGGGCGUGGUGUGGUUCAACUUAUAUCAUGCGAUUCUCUAGUCCUGUCUCUGUAGGAGCUGGGAAAUUAUUUCAAAUGGCGACACCGAGGG